AAGACUAUACUGUCAGGGACCCCCUCUCUAGUUUGUUACUGGAGAAGUUUCUCUAAACGCGUAGAGCACCAGACACCAGGAGGAGGAGGCACAGUGUGCUCUGGAGUGAGAAGCUGGCUCUUGAUGUGACCUUGUAGCCACUGCUGUUUAGCACAGAUGAUCCUUCCCCUUCGCGAGAGAAACAGGGAGAGGACGCGGCCUGAGUGGU
rnacentral:snoRNA from 1 species